UACGUAGGGGGCAAGCGUUGUCCGGAUUUAUUGGGCGUAAAGAGCGUGUAGGCGGCCAUACAGGUCCGUUGUGAAAACUGGAGGCUUAACCUCCAGACGUCGAUGGAAACCGUAUGGCUAGAGUCCGGAAGAGGAGAGUGGAAUUCCUGGUGUAGCGGUGAAAUGCGCAGAUAUCAGGAAGAACACCCGUGGCGAAGGCGGCUCUCUGGGACGGUACUGACGCUGAGACGCGAAAGCUAGGGGAGCGAACGGG
rnacentral:rRNA from 1 species